rnacentral:rRNA from 1 species
GAUGAACGCUGGCGGCGUGCCUAAUACAUGCAAGUCGAGCGAACGGACGAGAAGCUUGCUUCUCUGAUGUUAGCGGCGGACGGGUGAGUAACACGUGGAUAACCUACCUAUAAGACUUGGAUAACUUCGGGAAACCGGAGCUAAUACCGGAUAAUAUUUUGAACCGCAUGGUUCAAAAGUGAAAGACGGUCUUGCUGUCACUUAUAGAUGGAUCCGCGCUGCAUUAGCUAGUUGGUAAGGUAACGGCUUACCAAGGCAACGAUGCAUAGCCGACCUGAGAGGGUGAUCGGCCACACUGGAACUGAGACACGGUCCAGACUCCGACGGGAGGCAGCAGUAGGGAAUCUUCCGCAAUGGGCGAAAGCCUGACGGAGCAACGCCGCGUGAGUGAUGAAGGUCUUCGGAUCGUAAAACUCUGUUAUUAGGGAAGAACAUAUGUGUAAGUAACUGUGCACAUCUUGACGGUACCUAAUCAGAAAGCCACGGCUAACUACGUG